UGAGCAGAGGGGACCGUUGGAGGGAUGAGGAGACAGUUGGAGAGGGAUGGGUCAGGGAUGAGGAGCUCGGAGGGGCACUGGCUUCAGAAGGAUGAUCAGUGUGAGAUUAAGGAGCAACUCAAGGGCCUACAGAGAAUACCACAGUGAUGCAAAGUCACUGAAACCCUGCCAGGCUUUAAAGAGAAGUCGUGACGACCCUGAAGACCAGCUAGAUGCCAUGUAGCCCUGCCUGCUGGAAGCCUCCCUGGGCCACAAAUCCACGCUGAUCCUCUUCUUCCUCCUCUCUGCUUUUCAAGAUUUAGAGGUGAUCUGUAACAUGAUUCCAGGCCUCUGCAGAUGUGACGGUGUCAUGCCGGGCUGUUUCUAGCAACCAGAGGAGGACCACAUGUGGCUUCUGCACGACCAAGAGCCCGCCUGGCCCACGAGCGGUCACUUGUCCCAAAACGAAGGCACAGAGACCGAGGGGACCAAGAAGAGGUUUGAAGCAGGGACACUGCAGAAAGCUCAGGGACUCGCUGUUACUCUUACUUCAUUGAUUUCCAGAUGGUGGCAGACAGCUGGCCUCUCCGGGGCCCAGAGCGGAGCCCGGCAGGCCCUGAAUGGGCAGGCUGGCGUGUGAUGGUAAACACACAGGGAAGGGUCUUGGAGCAGAUUUGCUGGCGCCAGGAAUCAGCCUCCUGUGUGCUGCUUCUGCUCCCCGCUGAGCAUGGCUGGAGAAGAGAAGGAUGCGAUAGAGCUGUGAACCCCCACAGCCGCACCUGGGGACACCUGCGCCUGAGAGAGCUUCGGGGCUGUGAUGGGCUUCUGGGAAACACCUGGGGUUUGUGGGAGCGCCGUCUCUGCUCUGGCCUGGAGUCGUCCACACCCAAAUGCAUGUCCGUGUCUGGGUCUGCCUCCAGGGGCUGCUGCCGUGGAAGCAGCUGUGGGCAGCGCUGGCCAGGGGCCUUCAGUGACUUCUCUUAGCUUGGCUUUCCAGCUUCCUCUGUGGAAGCCACGUGGAAAGCCACUGGGUCAGAGUGUUCCUGGGGUGGCUGGCGGCCCACUGCAGGUUCAUUGAAUGACCUCUGAACCCCGAGAACCAGGCCUGUGCCUGUGGCCUUGCCACUUUGCCCUCUGUGUCACAUAGGAAAAGUUGUCUGAUCCUGCCUGUGGCCCAGUCUUAGAUGACAGGAGUCCCAAUGCGCCUGGACGGCCGCAAGAUUUAAAUAAGGUAAUAUGUGUCAACAGUCCUUUUGAACGGGGUUCCUUUCUUUCUUUAUAAAGAUAGAAAAACACAGCUGGAAUACUCCCUAAACAGGACCUGACCUCAAUCUCUCUGAGUGUCUGAGAUUGGGAGGUGUUGAUGAAUGGGCAUGAGGGUUUGAUGAGCUCCUCCAAACCUGAAGUCUCCAUGUAUACAACUGUAGUAUACAUCGUUCCCCCACCUCCAGGACAGGACCCGUUUCUUAAGUGCGAUGCUAAGGGCGGUUUUAACUCAAGUGGAUACCCAGGGGGUCUCAAGUGCUUGUGUUCUAGACCAGGGCUGCUUAGUAAUUUGGAACCAAAUAAUAUUAUGUCAGUGGGGGUGGGGGUUGUCCUGUGGGUUGUGGGGUGAUUGGCAGGAUCCCUGGCGCUAACCCCUAGGAACGUUCUCCCGCGCUACCCCUGCCCUGUUUUUAGCAAUGCGAAGUGUCUCCAGACCUCACUAAAUGUGCCGGGGAGUGCAGAGGGGGACAAAAAUCAGCUCACAUGAGGAACGCCUGGCUUGCCAUGUUCCAUGUGGGGUGAGCCCUCUGGAAAUGGCUGCAGUCUGCUGCCCUGAAAUUUACCACGUUUCUUUUUGGAGCUUUGCUAAUCUCUGCCUACUUGUGUGCGCUGAUCAGAGCCAUCCCGGAAAAGGGUUUUAUCAAAGCUGAAGGACUACAGACUUGCCAAACUCCAGCCCUGCUUGAAAUAAAGUGCUGGUCUGCACCCGGUUGGGUAGCCACGUCCCACAGAACUCAGUGCUUGUGUGUCUUGUUAGUCAAACUCGAAGUUUCCCCCCGGUCCCACAGCAUUAAAUGCAACUCAAAUUUUGUAGACUUUUAGCUGUUAAACAAAAUAGGAGUUGAGAUUAAAACACAACAGCGAGUUCAACUGAAA